AGAGUUUGAUCCUGGCUCAGAGUGAACGCUGGCGGCGUGCCUAAUACAUGCAAGUCGAACGGACAAGUAAGAGCUUGCUCUUAUGAGUUAGUGGCGCACGGGUGAGUAAUGUAUAGUUAAUCUGCCCUACACUGGAGGACAACAGUUAGAAAUGACUGCUAAUACUCCAUACUCCUUCUUAACACAAGUUAAGUCGGGAAAGUUUUUUCGGUGUAGGAUGAGACUAUAUUGUAUCAGCUAGUUGGUGAGGUAAUGGCUCACCAAGGCUAUGACGCAUAACUGGUCUGAGAGGAUGAUCAGUCACACUGGAACUGAGACACGGUCCAGACUCCUACGGGAGGCAGCAGUAGGGAAUAUUGCUCAAUGGGGGAAACCCUGAAGCAGCAACGCCGCGUGGAGGAUGACACUUUUCGGAGCGUAAACUCCUUUUGUUAGGGAAGAACAAUGACGGUACCUAACGAAUAAGCACCGGCUAACUCCGUGCCAGCAGCCGCGGUAAUACGGAGGGUGCAAGCGUUACUCGGAAUCACUGGGCGUAAAGGACGCGUAGGCGGAUUAUCAAGUCUUUUGUGAAAUCUAAUGGCUCAACCAUUAAACUGCUUGAGAAACUGAUAAUCUAGAGUGAGGGAGAGGCAGAUGGAAUUGGUGGUGUAGGGGUAAAAUCCGUAGAGAUCACCAGGAAUACCCAUUGCGAAGGCGAUCUGCUGGAACUUAACUGACGCUAAUGCGUGAAAGCGUGGGGAGCAAACAGGAUUAGAUACCCUGGUAGUCCACGCCCUAAACGAUGUAUACUAGUUGUUGCUGUGCUAGUCAUGGCAGUAAUGCACCUAACGGAUUAAGUAUACCGCCUGGGGAGUACGGUCGCAAGAUUAAAACUCAAAGGAAUAGACGGGGACCCGCACAAGCGGUGGAGCAUGUGGUUUAAUUCGAAGAUACGCGAAGAACCUUACCUGGGCUUGAUAUCCUAAGAACCUUGUAGAGAUACGAGGGUGCUAGCUUGCUAGAACUUAGUGACAGGUGCUGCACGGCUGUCGUCAGCUCGUGUCGUGAGAUGUUCGGUUAAGUCCGGCAACGAGCGCAACCCACGUAUUUAGUUGCUAACAGUUCGGCUGAGCACUCUAAAUAUACUGCCUUCGUAAGGAGGAGGAAGGUGUGGACGACGUCAAGUCAUCAUGGCCCUUAUGCCCAGGGCGACACACGUGCUACAAUGGCAUAUACAAUGAGACGCAAUAUCGCGAGAUGGAGCAAAUCUAUAAAAUAUGUCCCAGUUCGGAUUGUUCUCUGCAACUCGAGAGCAUGAAGCCGGAAUCGCUAGUAAUCGUAGAUCAGCCAUGCUACGGUGAAUACGUUCCCGGGUCUUGUACUCACCGCCCGUCACACCAUGGGAGUUGAUUUCACUCGAAGCCGGAAUACUAAACUAGUUACCGUCCACAGUGGAAUCAGCGACUGGGGUGAAGUCGUAACAAGGUAACCGUAGGAGAACCUGCGGUUG
rnacentral:rRNA from 6 species